UGGAGGUCGAAGAGGGCUAUCGGCCAGUAUUUUUUUCAAAUCGUUGUAUCGCGCUCAUUCACUGUAAAAAGGUUUUAAAAAUCGUAUUUUGAAAUUCGCGCCCGAUCCGAAUUGUCGCGAAGUGUUCCGUCGUACUGUCGAAGUUCGGCGAUCGCGUAUGUUCAUUACCCAUGCAAAAUUCAAAUGUCAAAGUGAAAUUAGAAAUUAUUCUCAUCAGAAAUCAACGAACAAGUCAAACUGAAUUAUUUUAUCCAGUGUGAUGAUUAUUUGCGCGACCCCGUCAAACGAGCCAUCUCGAACUACAAUCAGACCGUAUCCAAAAAGCCCAAGAUGAAGACUACAAGACUUCGAGCAGCUGGUCUUCCUCAAAACCCCAUCAAAGCCCAUCGGCAGCAUUGCGACAUUUUCUGGGAGCCCUCAAGCUAGGAAUGUACUCGGGCUGCCUCACUCAGUAAUCACUGAACGACUCAAAUUGAAUUAUUUUAUCCAAUAUGACGAUUAUUGUAGGUCAAUUUAAACGAAAUAAAUGCACAAACUGCACAAAAUAUUUUAUUAGGUUAUGUUGCUGGUGCUGAUCGAGUCUUUAUUACUAAAAUCUCAUUAAAAUGCCAUGUUCUACUGCGAUUAGAUGAAAAAGCGAGGGCCCGCUUUUCUUAUUGUGUGAUGAUAAGAUUUGCCAUCAAAAUAGCUGGCGCUUUUGAAGAGGACCUUUUAAUGAACCAUUUAGAUAACUACAAAUAACAAAACUUAACAAUUGUUGAUGAAUGAAGUAAUGAAAUAUUGUACGAAUCUGGAGAAAUAUUGCACUAUUUUCAAGAAUUGCUCAAAAAGACUGCUCUCAGCAGCUGUACAGUAAGUAAGCCAAUCUUCAAAACUCCUACGCGUGUUGAUCAGCAUUUUAGUUGAAAUCUGAAGACAAUAUUGCUGGAUUGCUUGUUUCAGCGCUUCUCUGUUUGUAUAGCUUGUCUGAAUGCAGAUGGUCGUGAAGAAAUCUCCAAAGAAAAAAUUCUCAGGGGUUUAUAUCCGGCGAUUGCACAGGGCAAUGGGGCGGUGCAAACUUUCAUUCCAACAUUGCGGAAAAAUACUGGUUCAAAUAAACAACAUUUAUGCGAACUGUAUGGCAGGAAGUAUUUGCUGGGCUAGCAUAUUAUCCUACUUCUGAGCAUUCAAUCCGGAUUUAAUGAAAAAAGGUGCAAUGACAUGAUGUCCUAGAAACCCCAGUCAUACACUGACAAUUGCACGCCAUUGAUAACGAAGGUCAUGGACCACGUGAGGGUUGUGUAAUGCUCAAAUUUGAUCGUUCUGACGAUUAUAACUUCCCUUAAGACCAAAUGAACGUCAGUAAAACAAAUUUUCCUCAAAAACUCUCCAUCAGCCUAGAUUCUCUCAAGCGUUCCUUCGUAAAACUCUAUAUGUGAGAAGUAGUCCACAGGCUUCAAUUUUUUGUCAUGAUGCUUUUUGAAAUUCUUCUAUCUCAUCUGUUUAAGACCCCUAGAAAACGUCGUGCCCACCUGAUUUUAUGUAAUUUUUAUCACCUUUGAAAAUAAAUGUAACUUUAUUUUGCGAAA